rnacentral:tRNA from 1 species
GUGCCCGUAGCUCAACUGGAUAGAGUAUCUGACUACGAAUCAGGGGGUUGGAGGUUCGAAUCCUCCCGGGCACGCCA